rnacentral:sRNA from 1 species
GCGAGGUGUGGUGGCGCAAGCCUGUAAUCCCAGCAGCUCUGGAAGCUGAGGCAGGAGGAUCGCAAGUUCAAAGCCAGCCUCAGCAAAAAACAAGGCUCUAAGCAACUCAGUGAGACCCUGUCUCUA